CAGGUAGAGGAAUGUCUGCGACUAAGCCAAGGGCCACUUCAUAAGGGUUAUUGAUGGCAAAACAGGUAGAGGAAUGUCUGCGACUAAGCCGAGGGCCACUGCAUAAGGGUUAUUGAUGGCAAAACAGGUUGGAGACUACAUGAGAUUUUGACAGAUGGCGGGAAACCCUCAUCAACUGGAGAUCAGCCGGUAGAGGAAUGUCUGCGACUAAGCCGAGGGUCACUGCAUAAGGGUUAUUGAUGGCAAAACAGGUAGAGGAAUGUCUGCGACUAAGCCGAGGGCCACUGCAUAAGGGUUAUUGAUGGCAAAACAGGUAGAGGAAUGUCUGCGACUAAGCCGAGGGCCACUGCAUAAGGGUUAUUGAUGGCAAAACAGGUAGAGGAAUGUCUGCGACUAAGCCGAGGGCCACUGCAUAAGGGUUAUUGAUGGCAAAACAGGUAGAGGAAUGUCUGCGACUAAGCCGAGGGCCACUGCAUAAGGGUUAUUGAUGGCAAAACAGGUAGAGGAAUGUCUGCGACUAAGCCGAGGGCCACUGCAUAAGGGUUAUUGAUGGCAAAACAGGUAAUAAUACUAAAUUAUUAUCAUGUACACAAGCAAAUAAGCAUAUUAAUGAUGCUUAAGGUGUGAAAUACUGCCAUAAUCAGGUUUGUGGUCACUCAAACCCUUGCCGUUGUGCAAUUCCCCGUUCAGUUUGAAUCUAUAGUUCCGCAUCCCGACACGUAAAGCUCGUGCUUUGCUGGCAGCGGAAGUUGGCACUUAACAGGUUUAUCCUUGUUCCUGAGCAUGUAUGCAGUACA